AACUUUCUCACUAAAAAAGAUGAUUACACAUUUAUUUGAUAUCAAAAUUCCUGUCAGUGAUAUCAAUAUUGAUCAAUAGUUCUUCUGUUUACCUCAUUGAACUUAAAAUGAAUUGUUAUUCUCCCUUAUCUGCCAUUUGUCUUUUAGAGAAAGAGGCGCUCUCAUUUAAAAAGAUAAGUAAUAAUACAUUUAUUCUACAUUAUUCAAUAACACAAUAUGUAUAAUAUAAUCAAUCUUUCUUUGCUUUGAUUACUGUAAUUAUUAACUGUUUUUCCCUUUUGUCUUCCAUUUAUCUUUUACAGUGAGGAGAACCAUCUCAUUUACAAAGAUAAGUUUAUAUCUAUUAUGUUUUUAUGACAAUUUCCAUUUUUAUCAAUUUGUUUAUAUCAUUGAUACAAGUAUUAUGAAAUAAUUCACUAUCGUCUCCUCUUUCCCGCCAUUUUCCUUUUAGAGAGAAGAGAAAACAAGUCCAGACCAGGAGCAAACAAGAGAUGAGAAAAGGAAACAGCGCGCAAAGUGAACCAUCUCAUCAACAAAGAUACGUAGAGAAGAAGAAACGAGUCCAGACCAGGAGGAGAGGAAACAAGAGAUGAGCAAAGGCAUCGUUCACUGUGAAGCCUUUCAUCUAAUAAUGAUGAUGAUCAGCUCCAGAUGUUUCAUCUGCAGCAGCACGAUCCCUUUGUCACCAUCUGUACUCGAGAGAGAGAGGAAACAAGGAAGAAAUAUUACAGACAAGACAAGAGGACUGUGAUAAAUACAGAAGAACCAAGAUGAGAUGAGACAAGGGGAGAAGAGAGAAGACAGCAUACACUGAACCAUCUUAUUGAAAAGGGAGGACAAGCAGCUCCAGAUGUGUCCUCAUCUGCAGCAGCAGCAUCACAGCUUGUUGUCCUGAAGAUCCUCCUGUCUGUCAUCACACACACAUCCAGCUGGAACACAAGACUCACAAAGUGCUACAGCUACAUUUGUCAUCUUUUACAUCCUCAAGAAGAAUUUAAUUGUCUUUAUUAAAGGAUGACAUAAUGUUGUUUCAUCUUUUUAACAACAAAUCCCAUUAAAGACGUGAAUCAACACUGAA